AGAGUUUGAUCAUGGCUCAGGAUGAACGCUAGCGGCAGGCUUAACACAUGCAAGUCGAGGGGCAACGCGAGUAGCAAUACUUGGCGGCGACCGGCGCAAGGGUGCGUAACGCGUGAGCAACAUGCCCGUAUCAGGGGGAUAAUCCAGGGAAACUUGGUCUAAUACCCCAUAGUAAUUUUAUAAGGCAUCUUAUGAAAUUUAAAGCUUUGGUGGAUACGGAUUGGCUCGCGUGACAUUAGCUGGAUGGUAAGGUAACGGCUUACCAUGGCAAUGAUGUCUAGGGGUUCUGAGAGGAAGGUCCCCCACACUGGAACUGAGACACGGUCCAGACUCCUACGGGAGGCAGCAGUGAGGAAUAUUGGACAAUGGAUGGAAAUCUGAUCCAGCUAUGCCGCGUGAAGGAAGAAUGUCCUAUGGAUUGUAAACUUCUUUUGUAUGGGAGCAAUAAGGUAUUCGUGAAUACUGAUGAGAGUACCAUACGAAUAAGCAUCGGCUAACUCCGUGCCAGCAGCCGCGGUAAUACGGAGGAUGCGAGCGUUAUCCGGAUUUAUUGGGUUUAAAGGGUGCGUAGGCUGUUAUAUAAGUCAGUGGUGAAAUAUUCGGGCUCAACCGGGAUACUGCCAUUGAUACUGUAUAGCUGGAAUAUGGUUGCUGUGGGUGGAAUGUGUGGUGUAGCGGUGAAAUGCAUAGAUAUCACACAGAAUACCGAUUGCGAAGGCAACUCACAAAGCCAUUAUUGACGCUGAUGCACGAAAGUGUGGGGAUCAAACAGGAUUAGAUACCCUGGUAGUCCACACUGUAAACGAUGAUAACUAGCUGUCGGCGAUACACAGUCGGUGGCCAAGCGAAAGCGAUAAGUUAUCCACCUGGGGAGUACGACCGCAAGGUUGAAACUCAAAUGAAUUGACGG
rnacentral:rRNA from 1 species